rnacentral:rRNA from 1 species
CCUACGGGGGGCUGCAGUGGGGAAUAUUGGACAAUGGGGGGAACCCUGAUCCAGCCAUGCCGCGUGUGUGAAGAAGGCCCUCGGGUUGUAAAGCACUUUCAGUGAGGAAGAACGCCUGGUGGUUAAUACCCAUCAGGAAAGACAUCACUCACAGAAGAAGCACCGGCUAACUCCGUGCCAGCAGCCGCGGUAAUACGGAGGGUGCGAGCGUUAAUCGGAAUUACUGGGCGUAAAGCGCGCGUAGGUGGCUUGAUAAGCCGGUUGUGAAAGCCCCGGGCUCAACCUGGGAACGGCAUCCGGAACUGUCCAGCUAGAGUGCAGGAGAGGAAGGUAGAAUUCCCGGUGUAGCGGUGAAAUGCGUUGAGAUCGGGAGGAAUACCAGUGGCGAAGGCGGCCUUCUGGACUGACACUGACACUGAGGUGCGAAAUCGUGGGUAGCAAACAGGAUUAGAUACCCUAGUAGUC